AACGAACGCUGGCGGCAUGCCUAACACAUGCAAGUCGAACGGGAUCCUAGCUUGCUAGGUGAGAGUGGCGGACGGGUGAGUAACACGUGGGAAUCUGCCUUUUGGUUCGGGAUAACCGCGGGAAACUGCGGCUAAUACCGAAUGCCCUCGAGAGAGGAAAGAUUUAUCGCCAGAAGAGGAGCCCGCGUCCGAUUAGGUAGUUGGUGGGGUAAAGGCCUACCAAGCCGACGAUCGGUAGCUGGUCUGAGAGGAUGAUCAGCCACACUGGGACUGAGAUACGGCCCAGACUCCUAACGGGAGGACAG
rnacentral:rRNA from 1 species